rnacentral:rRNA from 1 species
UACGUAGGGUGCAAGCGUUAAUCGGAAUUACUGGGCGUAAAGCGUGCGCAGGCGGUUUUGUAAGUCUGUCGUGAAAGCCCCGGGCUCAACCUGGGAAUUGCGAUGGAGACUGCAAGGCUUGAAUCUGGCAGAGGGGGGUAGAAUUCCACGUGUAGCAGUGAAAUGCGUAGAGAUGUGGAGGAACACCGAUGGCGAAGGCAGCCCCCUGGGGCAAGAUUGACGCUCAUGCACGAAAGCGUGGGGAGCGAACAGG